rnacentral:rRNA from 1 species
AGAGUUUGAUCMUGGCUCAGAAYGAACGCUGGCGGCGUGCUUAACACAUGCAAAGUCGAACGAGAAAAGCCUGAUUUCGGUUGGGCGAGUAAAGUGGCGCACGGGUGAGUAACGCGUAGACAACCUACCCCCGGGACYGGGAUAACAGAGCGAAAGCUCUGCUAAUACCGGAUACGAUCUUGAGGCGGGAGCUUUGAGGUGAAAGUCGGCCACUCGCAGAAGCUGACGUUCGGGGAUGGGUCUGCGUCCUAUCAGCUAGUUGGUAGGGUAACGGCCUACCAAGGCGACGACGGGUAGCUGGUCUGAGAGGAUGAUCAGCCACACUGGCACUGGAACACGGGCCAGACUCCUACGGGAGGCAGCAGUGAGGAAUUUUGCGCAAAUGGGAGCAAUCCUGACGCAGCRACGCCGCGUGGRUGAWGAAGGCCCUUGGGUCGUAAAAUCCUGUCAGAUGGAAAGAAAUGUACAGGUGUUAAUAUCGCCUGUAUUUGACGGUACCAUCAAAGGAAGCAACCGGCUAACUCCGUGCCAGCAGCCGCGGUAAUA